UACGUAGGGUCCGAGCGUUGUCCGGAAUUAUUGGGCGUAAAGAGCUCGUAGGCGGUCUGUUGCGUCGGCUGUGAAAACCCGGGGCUCAACUCCGGGCCUGCAGUCGAUACGGGCAGACUAGAGUUCGGUAGGGGAGACUGGAAUUCCUGGUGUAGCGGUGAAAUGCGCAGAUAUCAGGAGGAACACCAGUGGCGAAGGCGGGUCUCUGGGCCGAAACUGACGCUGAGGAGCGAAAGCGUGGGGAGCGAACAGG
rnacentral:rRNA from 1 species